AAAAUAAUUUUUAAGGUUAUAAAAGAAAAAAUAAUUAAGACAUUAUUUUUAUAUAAUUCUCCACAAAUAAACACCAUUGACUAUAAAACUAAAUAUUACAGUGUUUCAUUCUUUUAGUCUUGAGUUACAAUUAACUCUUUUACAAAAUAAUCAUGAUCAAGGAAAACAUGUACAUAGUGAUUGUUUAUUUGCUCCAAUGAAAAAACUGCAUCAUUUUGAGAAACAGUAUGCUUCUACCUCAGUGGCUGAUACACUUUUCCCUGCUGUUAUUGGAAGUUCAUGCCUCCUUACCGAUGGGGCGAAAAAUUUCCAGAGCUUGCUUUGAAUCCGUGAUCUCUUGCAUCUCUGGAUCUUUCUUAAUCAAGCGCUCUAACUACUGCGCCAAUGCCGCUAGGUCUAAUUUUUACAACAUCAAACCGUUACGUAUGGAUACGUAUGUUUUUAAAACAUUAAUUUAGUAUUUAUAAAUAUUUUAAUUUACACCAUAUUAUUAUAUUUGCAUUUUUAAUUGUCUUUUAUUAUUACCCUUUUUUUGCCAGUUGGUUUCUCCGCCCGUGAGUGGGAUAGAAAAAAUCUUUUUAUUUUUAAAGUGUGGCGGAAAUAGAACGAAAAUCAGAAAUUUUUAUCGCCUUGCGAAAGCGAAAUGAGAUAAGUCGCUUUUUAAUUAGGGUUAUUAAUUCUACGUUGUUAAAAUUUUUAAUUAUUACUCAUUAUCAUUUUAUUAAAUUGAUUUGCAGUUGUAAUUUAAAAGUUACGCAUAUUUGCAAAAAUUUUAUUAA